AUUGAACGCUGGCGGCAGGCCUAACACAUGCAAGUCGAGCGGAUGAAGGGAGCUUGCUCCUGGAUUCAGCGGCGGACGGGUGAGUAAUGCCUAGGAAUCUGCCUGGUAGUGGGGGAUAACGUCCGGAAACGGGCGCUAAUACCGCAUACGUCCUGAGGGGGAAAGUGGGGGAUCUUCGGACCUCACGCUAUCAGAUGAGCCUAGGUCGGAUUAGCUAGUUGGUGGGGUAAAGGCCUACCAAGGCGACGAUCCGUAACUGGUCUGAGAGGAUGAUCAGUCACACUGGAACUGAGACACGGUCCAGACUCCUACGGGAGGCAGCAGUGGGGAAUAUUGGACAAUGGGCGAAAGCCUGAUCCAGCCAUGCCGCGUGUGUGAAGAAGGUCUUCGGAUUGUAAAGCACUUUAAGUUGGGAGGAAGGGCAGUAGGUUAAUACCUUGCUGUUUUGACGUUACCAACAGAAUAAGCACCGGCUAACUUCGUG
rnacentral:rRNA from 1 species